rnacentral:rRNA from 1 species
GAUGAACGCUGGCGGCGUGCCUAAUACAUGCAAGUCGAGCGAACAGACGAGGAGCUUGCUCCUCUGACGUUAGCGGCGGACGGGUGAGUAACACGUGGAUAACCUACCUAUAAGACUGGGAUAACUUUGGGAAACCGGAGCUAAUACCGGAUAAUAUAUUGAACCGCAUGGUUCAAUAGUGAAAGACGGUUUUGCUGUCACUUAUAGAUGGAUCCGCGCCGCAUUAGCUAGUUGGUAAGGUAACGGCUUACCAAGGCAACGAUGCGUAGCCGACCUGAGAGGGUGAUCGGCCACACUGGAACUGAGACACGGUCCAGACUCCUACGGGAGGCAGCAGUAGGGAAUCUUCCGCAAUCGGCGAAAGCCUGACGGAGCAACGCCGCGUGAGUGAUGAAGGUCUUCGGAUCGUAAAACUCUGUUAUUAGGGAAGAACAAAUGUGUAAGUAACUAUGCACGUCUUGACGGUACCUAAUCAGAAAGCCACGGCUAACUACGUG